UCCCAGGUGGCUCAGACAGUAAAGUGUCUGUCCACAAUGCAGGAGACCCAGGUUUGAUCCCCUGGUCUGGGAG
rnacentral:tRNA from 1 species